GGGGUGUUAGCUCAGAUGGGAGAGCACCUGCUUUGCAAGCAGGGGGUCAUCGGUUCGAUCCCGAUACGCUCCACCA
rnacentral:tRNA from 1 species